rnacentral:rRNA from 1 species
UACGUAGGGGCGAGCGUUGUCCGGAAUUACUGGGCGUAAAGGGCGCGUAGGCGGUCAAUCAAGUCAGGUGUAAAAGAACCCCGGGCUCAACCGGGGGUAGGCAUCUGAAACUAGAUUGGCUAGAGGGCAGGAGAGGGGAGGUGGAAUUCCCGGUGUAGCGGUGAAAUGCGUAGAUAUCGGGAGGAAUACCAGUGGCGAAGGCGACUCUCUGGACUGGCCCUGACGCUGAGGCGCGAAAGCGUGGGGAGCGAACAGGAUUAGAUACCCCCCGUAGU